rnacentral:rRNA from 1 species
UACGAAGGGGGCGAGCGUUGUUCGGAUUUACUGGGCGUAAAGGGCGCGCAGGCGGUCUUGAAAGUCAGGCGUGAAAGCCCCGGGCUUAACCUGGGAAUUGCGCUUGAUACUCUGAGACUGGAGUACGGGAGAGGAGAGUGGAAUUCCCAGUGUAGAGGUGAAAUUCGUAGAUAUUGGGAAGAACACCAGUGGCGAAGGCGGCUCUCUGGACCGUAACUGACGCUGAGGCGCGAAAGCUAGGGGAGCAAACAGG